CGCUGGCGGCGUGCCUAACACAUGCAAGUCGAACGGACGAGGGGAGCUUGCUCCUCGAGUUAGUGGCGAACGGGUGAGUAACGCGUGAGCAACCUGCCUUUCAGAGGGGGACAACGGUUGGAAACGACGCUAAUACCGCAUGAUGCAUUCUGACCGCAUGAUCGGGAUGCCAAAGAUUUAUCGCUGAAAGAUGGGCUCGCGUCUGAUUAGAUAGUUGGCGGGGUAACGGCCCACCAAGUCGACGAUCAGUAGCCGGACUGAGAGGUUGAACGGCCACAUUGGGACUGAGAUACGGCCCAGACUCCUACGGGAGGCAGCAGUGGGGAAUAUUGGGACCAAUGGGGGAAACCCUGACCCAGCAACGCCGCGUGAAGGAAGAAGGCUUUCGGGUUGUAAACUUCUUUUACCAGGGACGAAGGACGUGACGGUACCUGGAGAAAAAGCCACGGCUAACUACGUGCCAGCCGCUGC
rnacentral:rRNA from 1 species